CCUACGGGAGGCAGUAGUGAGGAAUAUUGGUCAAUGGACGAGAGUCUGAACCAGCCAAGUAGCGUGAAGGAUGACUGCCCUAUGGGUUGUAAACUUCUUUUAUAAAGGAAUAAAACGAGGCACGUGUGCCUUUUUGCAUGUACUUUAUGAAUAAGGAUCGGCUAACUCCGUGCCAGCAGCCGCGGUAAUACGGAGGAUCCGAGCGUUAUCCGGAUUUAUUGGGUUUAAAGGGAGCGUAGAUGGGUUGUUAAGUCAGUUGUGAAAGUUUGCGGCUCAACCGUAAAAUUGCAAUUGAUACUGGCAGUCUUGAGUACAGUUGAGGUAGGCGGAAUUCGUGGUGUAGCGGUGAAAUGCUUAGAUAUCACGAAGAACCCCGAUUGCGAAGGCAGCUUACUAAACUGUGACUGACAUUGAUGCGCGAAAGUGUGGGUAGCAAACAGGAUUAGAUACCCUUGUAGUC
rnacentral:rRNA from 1 species